UACGUAGGGUGCGAGCGUUGCCCGGAUUUAUUGGGCGUAAAGGGCGCGUAGGCGGCCACGCACGUCCGUUGUGAAAUCGCCCGGCUCAACUGGGCGGGGUUGGCGGAUACGGCGUGGCUGGAGCAAGCUAGGGGGCAAUGGAAUUCCCGGUGUAGUGGUGGAAUGCGUAGAUAUCGGGAGGAACACCAGUGGCGAAGGCGGAUCUCUGGGCCUUGCCUGACGCUGAGGCGCGAAAGCUAGGGGAGCGAACAGG
rnacentral:rRNA from 1 species